AAAAAUGAGAAUUUAGGCUCACGCUGUGUUGGUAGCGUAUAUUAUACUWAUGUCAGACUUUUGUACCUGGAAAGCAGUCGACUUUUGUGAUCUUCGAAGGUAACAGCAGAAAAAUAUGAGGCUCCAAGUGCUGAUCAGUGUCUUCUGUUUUCUUCAAUUCCUGGAUGCUCUUCCUUUUCAUCAAGAAAGGUACAACUACGACAAAGAUGGUGAUGGUAUGUUGAGCGAAAGAGAAGAAAAGUUGAAACAAGAGACAGAAGGAGAAAUGGUGG